CUGGAGAAGUUUGGACGGGCUUCGGUUCUCACGAGAGGUCGAAAGGGGGCCGUUUAUUAUAGGAGCUCGGGCAAGGACUAGUUGUCGUGGAAGCUCGGAGUAGUGUCCCGCUGUAGAAGCUCGUCCAGAGCCCACUCACUACGGGGUAGCUCGGUUGAAGUCUACCUGUGGUAGAAAUUCGAAAGAAAUUUGUUUAUAGUAGAGGCUUGAGUCAGAAUUUACUUACAGUCGACGUCUGGGAUAGACAGCUUGUUGUAGGAGUUUGGAGUAGACCGUUCGUAGUAGAAGUUCGGCUCUCACAGGAGCUCGAUCGGGAUCCAAAAGGCGGUCGACUGUCGUAGAAACUUGGAAGGAGUCUGGUUACCGUAGAAAUCUCGUUGUCGGAGAAGCUCGGAUGCUGAUGAAGCUCGAAAGAAGUUUGGGGGUAGUCGGUUGUUGUAGAAGGUCGGCUAACAGUAAGGCCCAGAGGGCCUCUGGGGUGGCCCGGUGGGUGAACGCAGGAGUCCAUUAUCGGAGAAGUUCGGAUGGCUGAGGGUGUUCGGAGAGGCACCACAUACA
rnacentral:lncRNA from 1 species